rnacentral:rRNA from 1 species
AGAAUCAACGCUGGCGGCGUGCCUAACACAUGCAAGUCGAACGAGAAAGUGGAGCAAUCCAUGAGUAAAGUGGCGCACGGGUGAGUAACACGUGACUAACCUACCCUUGAGUGGGGGAUAACCUCGGGAAACCGGGGCUAAUACCGCAUAAUAUCGAGAGAUCAAAGGAGCAAUUCGCUUAAGGAGGGGGUCGCGGCUGAUUAGCUAGUUGGUAGGGUAAUGGCCUACCAAGGCUAUGAUCAGUAUCCGGCCUGAGAGGGCGCACGGACACACUGGAACUGAAACACGGUCCAGACUUCUACGGGAGGCAGCAGUGGGGAAUUUUGCGCAAUGGGGGAAACCCUGACGCAGCAACGCCGCGUGGAGGAUGAAGUCCCUUGGGACGUAAACUCCUUUCGAUCGGGACGAUAAUGACGGUACCGGAAGAAGAAGCCCCGGCUAACGUUCGUGCCAGCAGCCGC